AAGUCGUAACAAGGUUUCCGUAGGUGAACCUGCGGAAGGAUCAUUAACACGUAUCCAACGUUAAACCCCCCGUGAACCUUCAGAGCGUUCUUGCCGCCCGUGACAAUCAGCAAUCCUGGUAAAUCAAGUGGGAAUAUCCGUUAUUGAUUCAGGACCUCUGCUGUCAUGUGUUAGGGAAACCAUAGCGGCAAUUGAGAGCUUUUAUCGUUAGUUUGGCGUCCUGGCCGGGCGAGUGAAAGUGUCGCUAGACGGUUUCUAGGGUAAGGCUUCGCCAUCGCUGGAGGCUCACCACGUAGCCGGCGGACAAACUACAGGGCUAUAUGCCCCCUAAUGACGACCAAGUUAAAUAGGGCCUCUGUCACAUAGCAAGUGCGCCGUGCCAGAGGAAAAGUACAACUGUUAACAAUGGAUAUCUUGGUUCUC
rnacentral:misc_RNA from 1 species